GAUUGCUCUGUAAGCCUUGUGUGGUGGAAAAGGCAUUAUUACUACUGAACAUUAGCAAAGAUCCCUGGGUGCAAUUAUGUUAGAAUAUAUGAGUUGAGAUUGCUUAUUAAAAGUAUGGAAAAGUAGAAAAAUGUUAAUGAUUAGAUUCAGGAUAUUUUAGAAGCCCAGGAAAGAAAUAUGUAUAUAUAGUACAGCACUAAACCAAACAAAUAAGUGUAUAGGCAACUCAUUAUUUGUUAGAGGUUUUGGAACAGAAAAAAAUGCAAACCAAAUAUAAUUUGCAGUAAAGUUUUAUUGGCAGUGCAGAAAAAAGGGGCAGGAAAACAUUUUAGUCUUUUAAGGUGAGUGAAAUUUAUCCCUACUCUUCCCGGAAUGUUGGACUCUCUGCUGGACUUCAGCUGGUUCCUGGCUUCAUGAUGGCUUGUCAGCAUCACCAUGUCCCUGUCUAGUCUUCAGGGCCCAUGGUCCCCUAGAUCGGAUGCCUGUACUUUUGCCAUCCCCCUUCCUCUCUGUUGUGACAACACUUUUUCAGCCCACAAACAACUGCCUCUCUCAGUUUCUCAUUCAUUCAAGGCCCUGCACGGCCUUAACCUAUCAUUCUGGGAUCUGUUUCUCAUCACUCCCAUCUGUAUUUUGUACUCCAGAUACUGUUUUAUGCCUCCUGCUCAUGUUUUUUGCUUUUAUUUUUCUUGUCACCUGGAAAGCCCUUUUCUGCCACUGUAGAGGCUCUGUCCUUUCUUUAAGAGCUGUGGUACACCUGAUCUGCUCAUGAAAGCUUUUCAUGAUUCCCCAGUUGUAUGUGCCUUUUCUUCUUUGAUGACCAAUGGAUGUUUGCAUCUCUCUUCAGUCACUCAAUCAGUACUUUGAUGUUACUAGAUAUUUAUGAACUUAUUUUUAUCCUUGUUCAUGAUUUGCCCUCCUGUACCACCCCCAUUCCCCAUACCCCCAAUACCCCACCCUCCACCCAACACAAGCCCACUACUUCCAUAAGCUACUUAAUUAAGUCACAUGGUAUAUUUACUCAUCAGUUUCCUAGUGAGGAACAGAAUACCUCCCACUGCAAAUAUUCAAUAAACAUGGGUUGAGUGGAAGUCACAUGGUAAGUAACAUGUUGACAAUGGUGAAUUGUGAAAGACAUGGGGAUGAAUCCUAGAGGAGAUCAGCCUUGGGAGCAGUUGCCAUGCUUAAGGAAAGAGUACAGGGAAACAAAGAUGGGGAGGCUCAGGAGCAGCAGAUAUUUGGGGGACACAAGGAGUUGUGAGAGCCCUGCCCAGAGCCCAGGGCGGUUGUGCCUUAGCGAGUGAAUGACCUGGCUGCCCACACUUGGGCAAUGCCUCAUCAUCACCAGGUAGGCCUUGCUGCUGCCUUUUUAUACCUCUGCUAGCAAGGGGGUGCCCGAGGAAAAGGGAAUUCCCUUGGUAAGUAGACUGCAGACCCAAAGCUUCCCACUUCCCAUGACUCAUCACUUUGAGAGGUUCUUAACAAAGGAUCCUUGAUUGGGGUCCCAGAGAACCAGGGAAUUAAUGCAGGAGCACUUUCCUGCAUCUCAGUUUAGAGAAACUUUUUUUUCCAAACUCUUUUCUAUUUCUGCCAGUAACUCUUCAGUUUGGGAACUGUAGUUCCAGCCAAAAUAAACUAUUGUCUCAGGUCUGUAUUUUUCCUGAAAAACCAUUUUAUGUAAGACUUUGAGAGUGACAAUGAAGGACCCAGAUCAGUUCUCUGGCCUGACCUGACUGCCUCUGUGUCCCAGCAAGGAUGAUGCAGCUUCCAAAAAAAAAAGGGGGGGGGGGCGUCUGAGCCUCCCAAGCACAGUCCCUCCUGCAAAGGCUGGUGAUGUGAUUUCUUCUUCUUUCUCCAAUUAUUGUCCAUGUGUAUCUGGCUCCAUUUGAAGGAAACAAAGCGAUCCCCACAUCUGGAGUGCACUGCUCAAACUUCUCUUUUUAUUCAACUAAAGAAUGCUAAUAAAGCUUUCUUUUUCAAAGUAGCUGUUUUUUAUAUGAAUAUUCAUUAGUUAUGCAGUUAAUAAUAAUUCAGAGAAGCAAAUAUUACACUAAGUCCUAAUGACUUCUUAAAUAUUACAAUCACAUUGAUAUAUAAAUGUAAUGAUAUUAUAUCAUGACAUAAUUAAUAUUAAUUAAUUUUUAAAAUAAAUAGCAGACAUCGUUAAGGAAGGAUUUGAAUGCUACAGGAGUAUCUCUAGCCUGAUGCAAUCAACAAAGUAAUAGUCAUCAUUUUGAAGACUAGAUUCCCUUACUUCAACAAGUAGAGUUACAAGCAGUGAGAGAGUCAGACAGAAUGGUCUUCCAUCCAAUGGUUCACCUCCCAAAUGGCCACAACAGCUGGAACUACGCUGAUCCAAAGCCAGGAGUCAGGUGCCUCCUCCUGGUCUCCCAUGCAGUGCAAGGGCCCAAGCACCUGGGCCACCCUCCAUUGCUUUUUCUGGGCCACAGCAGAGAGCUGGACUGGAAGAGGAGCAACCAGGACUAGACCCGGUGUCCAUAUGGGAUGCUGGCUCCGCAGGCAAAGGAUUAGCCUAGUGCACCACAGCACUGGCCCCACAAGGUGAUUUAACUAUGGAUAGUUCUACAUCUGCUCCUUUGGAGACUCCAUGACAGAUCUACACUUAAUAAUUGGGAGGCCCUUCGACUAGAAGGAUUAAGAAAUUAUAGCUAAUACAAUGUAUCCAUGUAAUAUGCUUAAGAAUAAAAUAAUUAAGCUCAUGAAGACCUGUGUCUGUUUUUAUUUUCUCAGGUCCUACAGAGACUGUAAAGCUGUAUAGCUCUGCAUACAUUCCUACAGACUUACUUCUAAGGGUGAAUGCGAAAGACAUGCCUGAUUAUUCCUGUAAGCCAAUCAGAGACCUUAGUACCUCUUCAAAGCAAUAAGAUAAGUAAAGUUUUGCCUUUGUCACAUCAAGACUGCUGUACCUUAAGGCAAAAAUGCUGUACCUGCAUUUCUUCAUUAUCUCUGGGAACUGUUAUUGAGAAUAAAGCUACCUAAUGAGUUAUUCUAUUAUAAUUCUCUAUACUCAAGCUAAAUGGGUUAUAAUCUACAUAAGGGUAACUUAUCACUACCCACUCUCUGGGAAUCUGAAAAAUAUGUUGUUUUCGUCUUAAGGGGCACCCCAAAUAUAAUUGGUUUUGUUCCAGUUUUGUUUAUGCUAGUCAGCAAACUUUUAUGUUUCAGAACUCAACUUCUGGGAGUAACUGACCAUGCAGGGGACACAGACAUUGGCAAUGACCAAGACUGCUCCCGCUCACAAAACGAAUUUGUUAGAUAGGCUAUGUGGAGAAUUCCAGAGCCAUAGGAAGAGCCUGCACUAUGCCCCCAUAAGCAGGAAGCAUUUACAGAAGAGAUAAUUCUACACCUAUCAACUUCCCUUAGGAUUAAGGGAUGAAGUCUCUGAGGGGGAAAUGAAGUAGACAGGCAUACAGGUUAAAAUUGAUUAGGCUUAUGAGCUGGAAGACCAUGCCUUUGCCACACCCCUGUGUGACCUCAUGCCCCUACUUGGCCACAUCUGAGCACCCACUGGCCAAUCAGGUUAAUUAGCCACUCUCCUUUGAUAAUGGAUUAAAAAUCUGUGACAUAGUGUGUCUAUCCCCCCUUUUAUUCCUUUUUGUCACCCUGGCCUCUUGCCAGUAGGGGGCUGUCUGCAUCCCUGUGCCUUCAGGGUGUUAGGGUCAGAAAAAGCCCACCGCCCGAGGAACGACUCCAAGAGACUUUUCUCUCAUGCAACCAGCAAAGGGUUAAAGAUUUAUUGAUCCAACAUGUUGGGGCUCUCUGAACAUACAAGGACAGAGGAGCCCUGAGGAACUACAGCAUAGGGUUUAUAAAGGCAAAAACCGCAAAAUCGGGAGGGGGGAGAGAAUACACGGUUGCUAAGCAGUUGCUAAUAUCUUACAAUCAACAAUUAUGAUCUUAAGACAUAGACAAAUCACAUCUUCAUUAUUAGCUCAGGUAACCCAGGUGCAACCUUUUUAUUUUUAAGCUUGAGCAAUCAUGCUAGGGGGUUUUUGUGCAUUGCCAAGGGUGAUGUAGUGCACUGCUAUUGUCUGACUAUUUGAGAUCAUAGUUUCAGACCAGUCUCACGGUGUGGGGGGGUGCUUUCCCAGAAUGGAGUCUCAAGUGCUCCAAAAUGGAGUCCCUACUGUCAAGGUGCUACUUCACUCUGUUUUAUUUUCACAGCUGCACCAGGAAGGUUUAAACCUGUAAGCUUAAGCUUAACUUUUUACACCCGCACAUAUACAAUUUUAACUCUUCAUAGGGCACAUGGCCUUCAGGCCAACCUACCCUAUGCUUCCUGGCCUGGAUGCUCUUCCACGUGGCUGGUUCCUGGUACUUGGUGUGAACGCAGAUCUAUCUCUCUCCUAGAAAUAAAGCCCUCACUCUCCUAUGCAUCUUUCACACUAAAUAAAAGCUUAAAAUGUAAAAAAAAAUAGAAUACCACUCUAAAUACUAGUGUCUGAUCAUUAGCAUCACUUGUGAAAGAAGUAACCCUAUCCUCUUAGACUCAUCAAAUUUCUCUCUUAACGUGUUCUCACUAUCCAACAUUGUAUGACAGCUUUUGAACACCAGGAUUUCAUUUUUUUUGAAAUAGUAAAGUGUUGCAGUCUUGAGUGUGCUGGAACAGGUUAAUAGGGGCUUCAGGUAGCCAGUUGUUAAAUUUUCUGGAAGUUCAAGAGCUGUUUGAUGUCAUCUUAGCUUUCAGCUUUGAAAUUCCCUGUGUGCAGGGAACAUGUUUCAUGGAACGUGGCCAAUUGUACAAGUCAGAGCAAUUUCCCCAUUCUGCACCACACAAAUUAGUUUUAAAUAAAGAGGAUUCUGAAAUUUCUUUAGUGAGUGAUGAUCAAAAUUCUAGAAGUGAUUUUAUGUAUGUACCAAAAAACUUGCAUACAUUUGACUACAUUCAUCUGUGAUAAAUGAUGAUUCAAUUUAAAACAUUUAAAAUAUUUAAACUAUAAAUCUGAGAGGAUUUCAAAGGGUUCAUGGAAGAUGGAAUUAAAGUGUAAUUUUAUUUUGGGGUACAAAAGAUUUGGAGCUAUGCAUGUUGGAAAUCUUUAAAGUUCAUGAAAAUUGCAUAUUAUUUAAAAAGUGGAUAUAGUUUUUAUUUUAUUUAUUUAUUUAUUUAUUUUGACAGGCAGAGUGGACAGUGAGAGAGAGAGAUAGAGAGAAAGGUCUUCCUUUUGCCGUUGAUUCACCCUCCAAUGGCCACUGCGGCUGGCGCGCUGUGGCCGGUGCACUGCGCUGAUCUGAUGGCAGGAGCCAGGUACUUCUCCUGGUCUCCCAUGGGGUGCAGGGCCCAAGUACUUGGACCAUCCUCCACUGCACUCCCUGGCCACAGCAGAGAGCUGGCCUGGAAGAGGGGCAACUGGGACAGAAUCCCGUGCCCCGACUGGGACUAGAAUCCGGUGUGCCAGCGCCGCAAGGCGGAGGAUUAGCCUACUGAGCCGCAGCGCCAGCCAAAAGUGUAUAUAGUUUUAAAAGUUCUUCACACUGACAUAAAUUUAUCUUUUUAAAAAAACAUUUAUUUGAGAGGUAGAGCUGUUUAUAUCAAUAUAUUUAAAUCACACUAGGUAGCAAUGAUAAACAUUCAAGUUUAUUUUGUAUACAAUGAUUAACAACAAAAUUUCUCUUCAUAUUUCUGUAUAGCUAAGGCUGCUCAGAAAGAUAUUUUAAAUAUAGUGAGUUUCAAAUGUAGGCUUACUUUCUUCAGAUUAGGAAGUUUUCAUGCAUUUAAAAUAAAUGCUAUUGAAAAUAAAUUACAAAGAAAGAGUACUUUUUCAGAUUAUACUUUUACUUUUUUUUUUGAAAGACUUAUACAUUUACUUGAGAAGCAGAGUUACAGAGAGAGAGAUCUUCCAUUGCUGGUUCACUCCCCAAAUGCCUGUAAUGGCUGGAGAUGGGCAGAUCCGAAGCCAGGAGCUUCUUCCAGGUCUCCCAUGCAAGUGCAGAGGCCCAAGCACUUGGGCCAUCUUCUGCUGCCUUCCCAGGCCACAGAGAGCUUGAUCGGAAGUGGAGCAGCUGGGACAUGAACUGGUGUUUUGGGAUGCUGGUGCUGCAGAAGGAGACUGUGUCACAACCCCACAAACUUAUCUUUUAAUUUCAUUCUCCCUGAAUUAUUUGCACACAUACAUAAAAUAUAUAUAAACAUUUUUUAGUUUGACUUACCUUGAAAGUAGAUGACAAUGUCAUUAAAUUAUAUUUAAAAACUGACUGUUAAUGAACAACUUAAUACAUUAUCCCUCUUAGUAGUUUUUUUAUCUGUUCUACUUAAUAUGACUGGUUUAGAUCUGUAAUUGAUGCACAGUUAUUCUUAAGUGUUGAAAAUUAACUGAAAUGUGAUCCCUGUUGAACAUGGUGGUGGGAAUGGGAGAGGGAAGAGAUGUAUAAUUUGGGACAUGCUCAGGCUGACUUGCCCCAAGUGGUGGAGUUGGAAGCAUACCAGGGGAUUCCAAUUCAAUCCCAUCGAGGUGGCAUGUACCAAUGCCAUCUCACUAUUCCAGGUGAUCAGUUUCAGUUCACAGUUGGUCAUGGUGGAGGGACUGGGAGUCAAAGGGAGCACAUAGACAAGUCUAGUACCUGCUAACGCUAACCGAUGGAGUAAAUAAAGGGGAGAGUGAUCCAACAUGGGAAGUGAGAUACUCAGCAGACUCAUAGAAUGGCAGAUGUCCUAAAUAGCACUCUGGCCUCAGAAUCAGCCCUAAAGGCAUUCGGAGCUGGCUGAAAAGCUCAUGAGAGUAUUUCAGGCAUGGAAAGCCAAGACACUCUGGCAAAAGAUCUCUGUGAGUGAGAUCCCAGUGGAAAGAACAGGUCAUCAAAGAAGGAGGUACCUUUCUCUGAAGGGAGGAGAGAACCUCCACUUUGACUAUGACCUUGUCUAAACAAGAUAAGAGUCAGAGAACUCAGAGGGCUUCCAUAGCCUUGGAAACUCAUGACUGGAGCAUAGGGAGAUUACUGAUGCCAUAGACAGGAGUGUCAAUUGGUAAAGUCAACAACAGGAGUCACUGUGCACUCACUCCUCAUGUAGGAUCUCUGUCCUUAAUGUGCUGUACAUUGAGAUUUAAUGCUAUAACGAGUACUCAAACAAUAUAUUUCACUUUGUGUUUCUAUGGGGGUGCAAACUGUUGAAAUCCUUACUUAAUGCAUACUAAACUGAUCCUCUGUAAAAAAAAAAAAUUAUCAAUUCCCAACUUGACUCUCACUGGGAUUAAACAUGACAAUAGGUCUGCUCUGAUUUCAUCAUCAUUUAAAAAAAAUCAUCUAUUAUUUUUCACUUUAUGUUUCUGUGUGGGAGCACACUGUUGAAAUCCAUACUUGAUGUAUACUAAGCUGAUCUUCUGUAUAUUAAGAUAAUCAAAAAUGAAUCUUGAUGUGAAUGGAAGGGGAGAGGGAGUGGGAAAGGGGAGGGUUGUGGGUGGGAGGGACGGUAUG